rnacentral:rRNA from 1 species
AUUGAACGCUGGCGGAAGGCCUAACACAUGCAAGUCGAACGAGUGGCGGACGGGUGAGUAAUGUCUGGGAAACUGCCCGAUGGAGGGGGAUAACUACUGGAAACGGUAGCUAAUACCGCAUACCAUCGGAUGUGCCCAGAUGGGAUUGGCUAGUAGGUGGGGUAAAGGCUCCCCUAGGCGACGAUCCCUAGCUGGGAUGAGAGGAUGACCAGCCACACUGGAACGGAGACACGGUCCAGACUCCUCCGUGAGGCAGCAGUGGGGCUUAGUGCACAAUGGGCGCAAGCCUGAUGCAGCCAUGCCGGGUGUAUGACGACGGCCUUCGGGUUGUAAGGUACUUUCAGCGAGGAGGCGUUACUCGCAGUAGAAGCAUCGGCUAACUCCGUGCCAGCAGCCGCGGUAAUAC